GCCAGACUCCUACGGGAGGCAGCAGUGGGGGAUAUUGCACAAUGGGGGAACCCUGAUGCAGCGACGCCGCGUGGGUGAAGGAGUGCUUCGGCAUGUAAAGCCCUAUCGGCAGGGAAGAAGCAAGACGGUACCCGACUAAGAAGCCCCGGCUAACUACGUGCCAGUAGCCGCGGUAAUACGUAGGUGGCAAGCGUUGUCCGGAUUUACUGGGUGUAAAGGGCGUGUAGCCGGGCUGACAAGUCAGAUGUGAAAUCCGGGGGCUCAACCCCCGAACUGCAUUUGAAACUGUUGGUCUUGAGUAUCGGAGAGGCAGGCGGAAUUCCUAGUGUAGCGGUGAAAUGCGUAGAUAUUAGGAGGAACACCAGUGGCGAAGGCGGCCUGCUGGACGACAACUGACGGUGAGGCGCGAAAGCGUGGGGAGCAAACAGGAUUAGAUACCCGUGUAC
rnacentral:rRNA from 1 species